rnacentral:rRNA from 1 species
AGAGUUUGAUCCUGGCUCAGGACAAACGCUGGCGGCGUGCGUAACACAUGCAAGUCGGACGAGGCUUGAGCGCCUUUCGGGGAGCUUGAGUGCGAGUGGCGGACGGGUGAGUAACACGUGGAUAACCUGCCCUGGUGUGGGGGAUACCCUGUAGAAAUACGGGCUAAUACCGCAUGAGCUGGACUGUGGGGAGCUGCAGG